AUAUUUUCUGCGUGGAUGAAUAGAAUCUUUAAGUAAUCACCUGUGCUGACAGUUUUAUUUUCGUGUGGCCAGCAGCCACUUUUUACGACUUGUGCCAGCUUGAUCUCCAAACGCAGGUGUCAUAACAGCAGGAAAAUCUGUAAUUCUAGGUAUUACCUUAUCGUUACCCACCCAGUAACCAUUUCCAACGUAUUACCUGUCCAGAAAUAAAGUAUUUAUAGUGGCCCAAGUGCAGGGAUUGAAAUCAGAUGAUCUCUGCUCUGAAUAUAAGAAGAAAUCUUUGUGAAUAGC